CUUUAACAUAAGAAAGAUGCGUAUUUCUUAGAAUUGUAAUUUUAAAUAAUUAUUUUAGACCUAAUACAAAAGUAUUUUAACCGUAUUACUUUGGAUUACAUAAAAGCCACAGCUUGAGCCAAGGCAGUUUAUGCAAUACAGAAAAUCUUGCACAGAAAGGCAGACUGGUUUAGAUUACAGGCUCUUAAAGGUCCACUCCAUACCACUGUAGCUGCUGAAG